rnacentral:misc_RNA from 1 species
AACCAUAGAAACCUGCGGAGUACCUGCGGAAGGAUCAUUAAAGAGUGAUACCUCCCUUCAAAGGGCUGGUAGUAAACUCCAACCCCUAUGUUUUUAUUUACCUUUUUGUUGCUUAGGCGGUUCGUAAAGCAUUUUUUUUUUUAAAAAAAAUGGCUUUCCAUUGGCUUUUUUCUUAGGCUGAUGAGUUUUAACCGCCUAAGGACUUAAAAACUCUUUGAAAUUUAAGUUUAUUGUCUGAGA